AUGAAACAGGCCGUCCAAUCAGAUCUGAGCUUAGAUCACGUGCCCAGAGCAGCUACUGUUGCACAAAAGGGUGAGAGUGCAGCGUGCAGGCGUGAAUUAGAAAAAGGCGAUCAAUUGUUU